GUUUCAGAUCACCUUUAGGCU
rnacentral:snRNA from 1 species